rnacentral:misc_RNA from 1 species
GGGUUCACGGGCCUCGCUCUCUGCUCCGAUUGCAACACCCUCGCCGAGUUCGUCAAAGACGAAGAACUGGUAUCAGAUUGUCGCAGAUGUUGCUCAGAGGACUCUGAUGAUUCCAUCAAUAAGAUAACAUUUUCUGGAGCGAUUCUAGAAGUAUGCAUGAGAAAGCUAGUAUUUUAUCCUGAGAUUGUAUCAUUCAUUGAGGAAGAGAGAGAUGAAUUCCCUGCACUAAAAGUUCAGU